rnacentral:ncRNA from 1 species
GAGAUAGAGGUCGCACUUUUUAUCAGUAUUUUGCCGGAUGUGGCAGGCACAUGAGAAAGCAGAAGAAAGGAAAAAGUGCCGAAAGUGCAGGGCUCCUGAGGCUUUGGGCUUGGGCAUGGCAGUUAAGAGCUGCAUGACUGUCAUCGCGAGAUGGAGAGCUAUCCGA